rnacentral:lncRNA from 1 species
CUGCCUACACCACAGCCAUAGCCACGAGGGAUCCGAGCCGAGUCUGCGACCCACACCACAGCUCACAGCAACGCCCGAUCCUUAACCCAAUGAUCGAGGCCAGGGAUCGAACCCACGUCCUCAUGGAUGCUAGUCAGGUUUGUUAACCAUUGAGCCACGAUGAGAACUCCUUUUCCAGUUCCUUGUUUGUUGAUUUUGCUUACAGUGGUUUACCAAGAGGAAAUUUUUUUUUCUUCCUAACAAAACAAACACUUAUUUUCCCUGCAAAGCUGAUUCAGGGACUGUAUAUAAAGGCAGGAGGGGCAGCUGAGCAGGGAGCUUCCAAUGCAGCCUGGGCGGCUCAGCCGCAGGUGCAGGCGGGCCUGCAGGGCCUUCUGGCUUCUGUGAUGUGAGUGCCGGACCGGACAGGAGAGGGGCAAAGGAGGCCUUCCCGGUCUCCACUGUGGCCUCCCUCCCCUAAGUGCCAGUUAGCAAGGCCGGGACCCAGCCGGAGCGCCACCGCGUCUGAGUGCGGAGCCGUCAGAUAGAGGGGUGCCGAUGGAGAGACCAACGGCCUGGGCUGAGUCAAGGCAUUUCCUUAUUUGUUUUUGUUGUUUUGCAGGAAGGUCCUGCAGGUCCCCUUCCCGGGCGGGGGAGGGACCAGAACGCCACAACAGCAGCAGCAGGGACUACAGUGUCCACUGCAACUGACCCUUGAAGAACACAGGUUCGAAUGGCCCCAGUCCACUUAGAGGCAGGUUUUUUCCGAUAAAGACACACUGUGGUAAGACGCGAUCGGGGCUGGCUGAGUCCAGGACGGAGGUCUGGGGAGCCGGGGGGCUGACUGCAGAGCAAUACCGGAUUUCUGCCCGUGCAGAGGGUCUGCACCCUUCACCCCGGCACUGUUUAAGCACCAACCGUAUUGAGGGGAAAAAACUUUUUCUUUUCAUGGCACACCCACGGCGUGUGGAAGUUCCUGCUAGGGGUCAAAUCGGAGCUGCAGCUGCAGGCCUACACCACAGCCACGGGCAACGUGGAGUCCGAGCCGCAGCUGUGACCUGUGCUGCAGCUUGUGGCAACACUGGGUCCUUAGCCCACCGAAUGAGGCUAGGGAUUGAACCCACCUCCGCACGGACACUGUACUGGAUUCUUAACCAGCUGAGCCACAGCAGGAACUCUGAAAAACAUUUUCUGUGGCAAUAUUUCUUCUAUGGUUUGUAAGUCUUGCGUCCUAUUGAGAAGGAUCUACAUUCUGAGGCUAUUAGAAAUCUCUUCCUUCUUUUCAGCUGCCCCCAGGGCACAUGGAAGUUCCUGGGCCAGGGAUCAAAAUCUGUGCCACAGCUUCAGGAACGCUGGAUCCUAAAACACACAUACUGCACCAGGGAUCGAACCAGCGCCUCCGUAGAGAUAAGCCAGAGCAUGAACCCACGGCGCCACAUCGGGAAUGCUUCUCUUUCAUAUUUUUCAUCUUUCAGCCGUUUGGACAUUUUACUCCCAGACGGCUACCCAGUUGUCUAAUCCAUUAGCAAACACUGAUCUUUUACUUACAGAUUUAAAAUAUUUUUAAAAAACAUAAAGUGUUUCUACUUAUUUGGGUUUAUUUCUGGAAUUUUUGUUCUGUUAAUCUAUUUAUGCGCCUUACUACCUUCUUAUUUAUUUACUAUUUUUUUACAGCCGCACCUGUGGCAUAUGGAGGUUCCCAGGCUAGGGGUCAAAUCAGAGCUGUAGCCACUGGCCUACACCACAGCCACGCCAGAUCUGAGCCCCAUCUGCAGCCUACACCACAGCUCACGGCAACGCAGGAUCCUUAACCCACUGAGCGAGGCUAGGGAUUGAACCUGUGUCCUCUCGGAUGCUAGUCAGAUUCGUUAAUUGCUGAGCCAUGACUGGAACUCCUCCCACUUCUUUUUAUGGCUUUUCUUUUUCUU